rnacentral:rRNA from 1 species
GACGAACGCUGGCGGCGUGCUUAACACAUGCAAGUCGAACGGAAAGGCCCUGCUUUUGUGGGGUGCUCGAGUGGCGAACGGGUGAGUAACACGUGAGUAACCUGCCCUUGACUUUGGGAUAACUUCAGGAAACUGGGGCUAAUACCGGAUAGGAGCUCCUGCUGCAUGGUGGGGUGGAAGUUCGGCGGUUGGGAUGGACUCGCGGCUUAUCAGCUUGUUGGUGGGGUAGUGGCUUACCAAGGCUU